AAAGUCCCAAUCAACCAGGAGGACGAUCCCGUCAAACUGCUAGGUGACCGUGUGGCUGCCAGUCAUGACAUGGCCAACGGGCGCUUGCUGCUGUGGAAGAGGCGUUCAGGGUGUCCUGGCCGACGGAAUGAUGACAAAGUUCAUCCAAGAACUGGAGACAGGAAACUUGCGACCGGUGCCAGCGAGUCGUCUAUGGAAACAUAAAACUCAGAGAGAGACAGACACAUGGAGAGAGUGAUGGGUUAAUGCAGUCUGACAGAGGACCGCUGCUGAUCACCAGCACUGAUGUACUAGCUCUACUACCACAAUGAACCAUGAAUAAAGAAAGAAGAAAACGUUUUAAACCAAA